rnacentral:rRNA from 1 species
GUGCAGCAGGCGAGAAAACUUCACAAUGUGCGAAAGCACGAUGAGGGAAUCCCAAGUGCUUGCACGUAAGUGUAAGCUGUUUCUCUGUCUAAAACGCAGAGAGAGUAAGGGCUGGGUAAGACGGGUGCCAGCCGCCGCGGUAAUACCUGCAGCUCGAGUGGUGACCGUUAUUAUUGGGCCUAAAACGUCCGUAGCCGGUUUAAUAAAUGCCUGGGUAAAUCGGACCGCUUAACGGUUCGAAUUCCGGGUAGACUGUUAAACUUGAGACCGGGAGAAGUUAGAGGUACUCCUGGGGUAGAGGUGAAAUUCUGUAAUCCUAGGGGGACCACCAGUGGCGAAGGCGUCUAACUAGAACGGGUCUGACGGUGAGGGACGAAGCCCUGGGGCGC